rnacentral:rRNA from 1 species
AGACGGAAGGUGCAAGGCGUUGUUCGGAAUCACUGGGCGUAAAGCGCGUGUAGGCGGUUCGAUAAGUCGAAUGUGAAAGCCCGAGGCUCAACCUCAGAAGUGCAUUCGAAACUGUCGGGCUUGAGUACGGGAGAGGGAAGUGGAAUUCCUGGUGUAGAGGUGAAAUUCGUAGAUAUCAGGAGGAACACCGGUGGCGAAGGCGGCUUCCUGGACCGAUACUGACGCUGAGACGCGAAAGCGUGGGGAGC